rnacentral:piRNA from 1 species
CACACACAAGAUUCACCAAAAACUCAUGGCC